ACUACGGGGGGCAGCAGUGAGGAAUAUUGGUCAAUGGACGCGAGCCUGAACCAGCCAAGUAGCGUGAAGGAUGACUGCCCUACGGGUUGUAAACUUCUUUUAUAAAGGAAUAAAAUGAGGCACGUGUGCCUUUUUGUAUGUACUUUAUGAAUAAGGAUCGGCUAACUCCGUGCCAGCAGCCGCGGUAAUACGGAGGAUCCGAGCGUUAUCCGGAUUUAUUGGGUUUAAAGGGAGCGUAGAUGGGUUGUUAAGUCAGUUGUGAAAGUUUGCGGCUCAACCGUAAAAUUGCAAUUGAUACUGGCAGUCUUGAGUACAGUUGAGGUAGGCGGAAUUCGUGGUGUAGCGGUGAAAUGCUUAGAUAUCACGAAGAACCCCGAUUGCGAAGGCAGCUUACUAAACUGUGACUGACAUUGAUGCUCGAAAGUGUGGGUAUCAAACAGGAUUAGAUACCCCAGUAGUC
rnacentral:rRNA from 1 species